rnacentral:tRNA from 5 species
UGAGGUGUAGCGCAGUUUGGUAGCGCGUCUGGUUAGGGACCAGAAGGUCGUGGGUUCAAGUCCCGUCACCUCAACCA